rnacentral:rRNA from 1 species
GAACGCGAAGAACCUUACCUGGUCUUGACAUGUACGGAAUCCUCCAGAGACGGAGGAGUGCUUUCGGGAGCCGUAACACAGGUGCUGCAUGGCUGUCGUCAGCUCGUGUCGUGAGAUGUUGGGUUAAGUCCCGCAACGAGCGCAACCCUUGUCAUUAGUUGCCAUCAUUAAGUUGGGCACUCUAAUGAGACUGCCGGUGACAAGCCGGAGGAAGGUGGGGAUGACGUCAAGUCCUCAUGGCCCUUAUGACCAGGGCUUCACACGUCAUACAAUGGUCGGUACAGAGGGUAGCCAAGCCGCGAGGUGGAGCCAAUCUCACAAAACCGAUCGUAGUCCGGAUUGCACUCUGCAACUCGAGUGCAUGAAGUCGGAAUCGCUAGUAAUCGCAGGUCAGCAUACUGCGGUGAAUACGUUCCCGGGUCUUGUACACACC